rnacentral:rRNA from 1 species
GACGUAGGGGGCGAGCGUUGUCCGGAUUCAUUGGGCGUAAAGCGCGCGUAGGCGGCCCGGUAAGUCGGAUGUGAAAUCUCACGGCUCAACCGUGGAACUGCAUUCGAAACUGUCGGGCUAGAGGCAGGUAGGGGAGAUCGGAAUUCCCGGUGUAGCGGUGAAAUGCGCAGAUAUCGGGAGGAACACCGGUGGCGAAGGCGGAUCUCUGGGCCUGUCCUGACGCUCAGGCGCGAAAGCCAGGGGAGCGAACGGG